rnacentral:rRNA from 1 species
CUCAGUUCGGAUUGGAGUCUGCAACCCGACUCCAUGAAGCUGGAUUCGCUAGUAAUCGCGCAUCAGCUACGGCGCGGUGAAUACGUUCCCGGGCCUUGUACACACCGCCCGUCAAGCCAUGGAAGCCGGGAGUGCCUGAAGUGCGUGAGCGCAAGCAGCGCCCUAAGGUAAAACCGGUGACUGGGGCUAAGUCGUAACAAGGUAAC